GUGGCAGCCGCCGCGGUAAUACGUAGGGUGCGAGCGUUAAUCGGAAUUACUGGGCGUAAAGCGUGCGCAGGCGGUUUGUUAAGAUAGGCGUGAAAUCCCCGGGCUCAACCUGGGAACUGCGUUUAUGACUGGCAGGCUAGAGUAUGGCAGAGGGGGGUGGAAUUCCACGUGUAGCAGGGAAAUGCGGAGAGAUGUGGAGGAACACCGAGGGCGAAGGCGGCCCCCGGGGCCGAUACUGACGAUCAUGCACGAAAGCGUGGGUAGCAAACAGGAUAAGAUACCCGGGUAGGCCACGCCCUAA
rnacentral:rRNA from 1 species